AUGCGCGAGAGUUGCAGAGGGAGAAGAGUGACUGGAGAUUUGGUUAAGAUGGAGGUUGGGAGAAGAAGAAGAGAGAGUUUUGGAGCGCGAUCUUUCUGUAGAAUCCAGAAUCUCCCCGAAUCUGGGCUGGGUUUCGGUUGUAAAACUCUGGUUAUUGAAUCAGUUGGUGGUUUAGCUGAAGCUGAUUUCCUGAACUGGAAAUCAUUUCCUGACUUUAUGAACUCCUUCCUACUUUUUCUUCUUUGGUUUAAUUGUGAUGCGUAUGUCUGGAUAUGUGCAAGGCUUUGUCGCGAACAAAAGGGCAUAUCAUGGCAUACCAUCAAGAUAUAA
rnacentral:lncRNA from 1 species